GAUGAACGCUGGCGGCGUGCCUAAUACAUGCAAGUCGAGCGAACAGACGAGGAGCUUGCUCCUCUGACGUUAGCGGCGGACGUGUGAGUAACACGUGUAUAACCUACCUAUAAGACUGGUAUAACUUCGGGAAACCGGAGCUAAUACCGGAGAAUAUAUUGAACCGCAUGGUGCAAUAGUGAAAGACGGUUUUGCUGUCACGUAUAGAUGGAUCCGCGCCGCAUUAGCUAGUUGGUAAGUUAACGGCUUACCAAGGCAACGAUGCGUAGCCGACCUGAGAGGGUGAUCGGCGACACUGGAACUGAGACACGGUCCAGACUCCUACGGGAGGCAGCAGUAGGGAAUCUUCCGCAAUGGGCGAAAGCAUGACGGAGCAACGCCGCGUGAGUGAUGAAGGUCUUCGGAUCGUAAAACUCUGUUAUUAGGGAAGAACAAAUGUGUAAGUAACUAUGCACGGCUUGACGGUACCUAAUCAGAAAGCCACGGCUAACUACGUG
rnacentral:rRNA from 1 species